rnacentral:rRNA from 1 species
UACGAAGGGGGCUAGCGUUGUUCGGAAUUACUGGGCGUAAAGCGCGCGCAGGCGGUCCUUUAAGUCUGAUGUGAAAGCCCACGGCUCAACCGUGGAGGGUCAUUGGAAACUGGGGGACUUGAGUGCAGAAGAGGAAAGUGGAAUUCCAAGUGUAGCGGUGAAAUGCGUAGAGAUUUGGAGGAACACCAGUGGCGAAGGCGACUUUCUGGUCUGUAACUGACGCUGAGGCGCGAAAGCGUGGGGAGCAAACAGG